GCUGUGUGCUAUCCUGAGCAUUGGAGGAUGUUUACUGGAUGCUAGUAGCACACAGUUGUGAUGACCCAAGAUGUCACUAGACAUUGCCAAAUAUAACCUGAGGGGUAAAUUGCCCAUGCACUGCACUUGAUUCUUUUACUCAGAAAUGAACAUGGAGCAAUUUACGUGCACCGGUAAAAUGCGGCUACUCUCGGAGUCCCUUUGGGCCAUACCCCAGCCAGGGAAGUUCCCAGAGAUGGGAGCAGAGGAUUAUCUCCAGGCAGUGCUCAAGGUGAGACAUGAAAGCCCAAUCAAUCAAGGAAACUCUAAUUGGAACCAUUACCUUACCUAAGCAGACUCUCUUUUGGAAGCUCACCCUGCACGCAGGGGGAACCCUUGCAGCUGUUCCACCUGAAUAGUGGAGAGAGGUGUGUGGCCACGCUGAAACCUGAAACCAUAACGUAAGAGCCCAAGGGAGACUGGAAACUCUACAGCCAUGAACUAAAAGCAGCGUGUGUCAGCCGCAGAAUCGGAUAACACAACCAAACCACAAAUGUGCCUGCCGCUCAGGCUUUAAAGUUCUACAGCAGAGCAGGACCCACUGUGACUUACUUUGUGUGAUGGAGUCAAACCACAUUUUUUUUCUUCUUUUUCUCAUCAGACUUCACAGGAAAUAUACGUCUUUGUUCAGAUUUGAGAUAAGGUACCCCUUCACCUUGACUCUCCUUUGCGGCAUGAACUCACCCAUUAAGUUGCUCACUUUCUAUCCUAGGCCCAUAUCAUCAGCCACUUAUAUUUAGUAGGCAUGUGGGUUUGUAUUGCUCUUAUGUUAGAGGUGGAAUCAAAGCUUUAUCUAUUAAGACAUGGUUUGUAGUCAGACUGAGAUGACAAUCUAAAAAAAGGAGGUGAGAGUCUCCCGGAGGAUACAACCAAGUGGGGUGGAUUCUGUUGAAGGUUGUUUAUUUUGCCAUCAGUAAUCCCCUACAAUGCUGUUGCUCAAUAAUUAUUUUAGGUCUCAUGACUUUCAACCUAACCUCUGUGCCCACAGAGAGAAUCUAUACUGAGGUGUUGACAUGAUUUCUUUGCAGCUGUUACAAAUUAAUAGCCUUGGCUCCCUUCGCAUGUUGAACCAUUAAAAUUGUGAAGACAAUUGGCAUUAAGGUAUUUCUCAAAGACCCCUCACCCAGUCUAAUGGGACCUCUGUCCCGUUCCAGGAGUGCCUAUUCCUAGAUUUCUUUUUUAUUUAUUUUAUUUAUUUUUUGGUUUUUCCUUUUAAGCCCAAAUCUCCCCAUAUAGGACUAACCUACGGGCCGACACGGUGGCUCACACCUGUAAUCCUAGCACUUUGGGAGGCCGAGGCAGGCAAAUCACCUGAGGCCAGGAGCUCGAGGCCAGCCUGGCCAACAUGGCGAAACCCCAUCUCUACUAAAAAUACAAAAAUUAGCCAGGCAUGGUGGUGCACACCUGUAAUCCCAGCUACUUGGAAGGCUUAGACAGGAG
rnacentral:lncRNA from 10 species